AUCGUUUAGAUAUAUUCGAUUUAUGUAUAACCACAUUAACUAAAAUAUGAAACUAAAUGUCAGUAUCUUCAUCUCAAAUAUUUUCUUCCUAUCACAUGUCAUUAAAAACUGGACAUUGUGGCCCAUUAAUUCUAUAUGGGCUUGAUCCAAUACACAAUCGGAAUUCGGAAAUCUGGAAAAAGCUAUUGGGCAAAUUAGAGUAGUGGGGGCGUUGAUACUGAGAGCAUCAGUAAAGACGUAGGGAAAAACCAGCAACUAAACGGCAAGAGGAGAGUGGCAGAGGAGUAAGAGAGCAGGAAAAUGGUGGAGGCACAGUUAGCGGCGGGUACUGGUUUGUUGAAGUUACCUCCAGUAACGUUUGUGACAGGAAACACGAAGAAGCUUGAGGAAGUUAAAGUAAUUUUAGGGAAAUCCAUUCCGUUUCAUCGCUUAAGCUCGAAUUGCCGGAACUGCAAGGCGAUCCUGAGGAUAUCGCGAAAGAGAAACUCGUUUGGCCGCUAACCAGGUGAAAGCUCGUUUGGCCGCUAACCAUGUAUAAAUGUCAUUCUUGCAAUUAAGAAGCAUGGCUGAGAGCCUGAGAAUCUGUGGGUUUAUUUGAUUUACGAUAUUGUAUUCAUGUAUACAUAGGAUGACUAUAGCAAAAAGUUUUGAUUUUGAGGCAAAGACUGAAAUUUUUGUUCAGAAAUUACCUGAUGGCAGAAAUACAGACAAACUUCGCAGAAGAAAAUGGAAUCAAAGUGAGAACUUCAGUAUCUGCUACUAUAUCGAUCACGGAACAAUGAGAAAACAUGACCGGUUUUUAAUUAGCUGGCAGUUUAAUAGAGCCGAGGGGCAUUUUCGGGAUUUCAAAUAGUGAAAUGAGCGGGAAAAAACAAAUGUGGGACUCUUAGAGAGUGACACAUGGCGAUUUAGCGCUUAUUUAUUAUAAUAGGGGAUAACCGUUUAGUACACAGGUCUCACAAUUAUUUAUGGAUUAUGUAUCUUCCUUUUUUCGUCCGAAUGUAAUCCGGAAAGUUCUAGAAUCCAGAAUGACCUUGAAUAUUUUUUAUUCAUCAAAAUAAGUAGUAUUUAAAUGUGACAAAAAAUUUGGUCAUUUUUAUUA